GACCCCUAGUAAUGGUAAAGAAACUUAUUGAUGGUGUUCUUAUAUCCGUCAGGGGCAAAGCAGAUGACAGCCCUUUGUUUAUCCUAGCUUGGUGCCUGGUUUGGUGGCCAAAGCUGUCUUAUGCCUCGGACUCAUAA
ensembl:snoRNA LOC120097594 small nucleolar RNA SNORA48